rnacentral:rRNA from 1 species
CGGAGGAAGGUGGGGAUGACGUCAAAUCAUCAUGCCCCUUAUGUCUAGGGCUGCAAACAUGCUACAAUGGCCGGUACAAAGGGCUGCGAUACCGUAAGGUGGAGCGAAUCCCAAAAAGCCGGUCUCAGUUCGGAUUGGGGUCUGCAACUCGACCCCAUGAAGUCGGA